UGGGGAAUAUUGGUCAAUGGGCGCAAGCCUGAACCAGCCACGCCGCGUGAGUGAUGAAGGCCUUCGGGUUGUAAAGCUCUGUGGGGAGGGAAGAAAACGGCCGGUAAGAAACGACCGGUCCUUGACGGUACCUCCUUAGCAAGCACCGGCUAACUCUGUGCCAGCAGCCGCGGUAAUACAGAGGGUGCGAACGUUGCUCGGAAUUACUGGGCGUAAAGCGCGUGUAGGCGGACUCGCAAGUCAGAUGUGAAAUCCCCGGGCUCAACUCGGGAACUGCAUCUGAAACUGCGAGCCUUGAGUACCGGAGAGGGUGGCGGAAUUCCUGGUGUAGAGGUGAAAUUCGUAGAUAUCAGGAGGAACACCGGUGGCGAAGGCGGCCACCUGGACGGUAACUGACGCUGAGACGCGAAAGCGUGGGGAGCAAACAGGAUUAGAUACCCUGGUAGUCCACGCCGUAAACGAUGGGUGCUAGGUGUCUCGGGUAUUGACCCUGAGGUGCCGUAGCUAACG
rnacentral:rRNA from 1 species